rnacentral:lncRNA from 1 species
GCAAAUUGCAAUCUUUUUUCCCUUUCUUUAUCUACACUACAUUCACACACUCUUAACCAUCGAUCACCGGUCACCACCCAACCUCACAACUACUACCAUAACCAGUCACAAUGGCCAUAAAAAAGGUUCCUUGCGAAAUAUAUGCAUUCAACAUUAGCUUAGAAGAAAGCCUAAGUCACAGCAAACCCUUGUUAUAAACAACAAAAUUAUCUCACCAUUCCAGCCAACAUGCAACCAUGAUUUCGACAAUAAGCGCUUUUGUAACAAUUACCCCCACUGAACAGUGAGUGCUUUGUAAUCCCAGUACUCCCUGGGCCGAACAACGUUGAUGUUAGUGUAGACUCGAUAUUUGGAUAUGUCGGUUACAUGCGUUAAAUCGUUAAUGGAAGACGGCGGCGACAUGUUCACUAUGAUGGGGUUGUUUGUGCGGAGGUGGGUGGUGGUGUUUUUGGGGAGAUGAUAGUGUACAAAUAGAGGGUGAAGGUGGUUGCAGAUUUUUGGAGUGUGGCGGUGCUACGGCGAUGACAAAUGUUACCAGAAGUAGGUGGUGGUGGGUUGGGGGUUGUAGGUGCUGUCGGAAGUAGGUAGAUGGUGUUUGGGGUUGUAGGUGCUGCCGGAAGUAGGUGGUGGUGUUGCAUUGGGGCGAUGGUUUGGUGUUGUUUGAAAGAGAUAACAUUUGUUAUUAUUUUUAACAUGGUGGUAAAGUAAUAAUUUCACUACCUGUUUAAC